CCCUGCAGGGGCUGUUGGCAGCAGCACCUGGAGCACUGCUGCACCACUUGGUGUCUGUGAGAAGGCAGAGGCUGUUAGUCAGUCCUGAAAUGAUUUGCUCAUGGAAGGGAUUGGCAGUAGCACCACAACACCAUCAGCUGCUGAGUUUCCCUGGACAAUUGGAUUUUUCAGGGGCACUGUAGUGUUUCAUUGUGAUCUUCUGUCAGCUCUUCUGGGAAAAACACUAGCCCAGUCUGUGAUGUUCAGUGCUCCAUUUGCUGUGUGUCUGUCUAUGUCUUAGCUGAUGCAAAGCAAAUAUUUCCUCCAGAUCCAAAGAGCUGUGCCUGAAAAUUCACAGAGCUACAUCCAUUUCUGAUUUUUUUAAAAAGUUUUCCAGAGCCCGCUGAUAAUUUUCAAGGUUUUCAGAGAACCACAGAAUAAUGAGGUUGGAAGACAUGUCUAGGAUCAUCAAGUCCAACCUAUGCCCCAACACCUCAAUUAGACUAUAGCACCAAAUGCCAUAUUCCACCAUUUUUAAAACACAUCCAAAGAUACUGAUUCCACCACCUCCCUGGGAAGAACAUUCCAGUACUUUAUUAUUCUUUUGGUUAACUUUUUUUUCCUAAUAUCCAACCUGUACCUUCCCUGACGUAUCUUGAGACUGUGUCCUCUUGUUCUGUCAGUCGCUGCCUGGUGGAAGAGACUGAACCCCCCACCUGUCUACAACCUCCCUUCAGGAAGUUGUAGAGAGCAAUAGGGUCACCUCUAAGCCUCCGUUUCUCCAGGCUAAACAACCCCAGUUCCUUCAAACAUUCCUCAUAGGGCUUGUGUUCCAAGCCCCUCACCAGCCUUGUUGCCCUCCUCUGAACGUGCUCAAGCAUCUCAACAUCCUUCCUAAACUGAGGGGCCCAGAACUGGACACAGUACUCAAGGUGUGGUCUCACCAGCGCCGAGUACAGGGCAACAAUGACCUCCCUGCUCCUGCUGGCCACACAAUUCCUACUGCAGGCCGGGAUACCAUUGGCCUUCUUGGCCACCAAGGCACAUUGCUGGCUCAUAUUCAACCGGCUGUCAACCAGCACCCCCAGGUCCCUUUCCACCUGAACACUGUCCAGCCACACUGUCCCCAGCUUGUUACAUUGUAGGGGAUUUUUGUGGCCAAAACGUAGAACUCUGGCACUUAGACUUAUUAAACUUCAUGCUGCUGGACUCUGCCCAUCCAUCCAACUGAUCCAAGUCUCUCUGCAGAGCCCUCCUUCCUUCCAGGAGAUCAACACAAGCUCCCAGCUUAGUGUCAGCUGCAAAUUUACUAAUGAAGGACUCGAUGCCCUCAUCCAUGUCGUCUAUAAAAAUAUGAAAUAGGACUGGUCCCAGCACAGAGCCCUGAGGGACAGCACUGGUGACUGGCCGCCAGCUGGAUGCAGCACCGUUCACCAUCACUCUCUGGUCCGGCCAUCCAGCCAGUUCCUAACCCAGCCAAGAGUGCUCCUGUCCAAGCCGUGGGCUGCCAGCUUCUCCAGGAGUGUGCUGUGGGAGACAGUAUCAAAGGCCUUGCUGAAGUCUAAAUAGACCACAUGCACAGCCUUUCCUGCGUCCACCAGGCGGGUCAGCUGGUCACAGAAGGAGACCAGGCUGGUCACACAUGGCCUACCCUUCGUAACCCCUGAUGACUGGCUCUGAUACCCUGGCCAUGCUGUGUCACAUUGGCCAGUUUCCAAUCAUCUGGAACCUCACCAGUGAGCCACGACUCCUGGUAAAUGAUGGAGAGCGGCUUGGCAACCUCAUCUGCCAGCUCCCUCCAUCACCCUAGGGUGAAUCCCAUCUGGUCCCAUUGAUUUUUAAAUAUCCAAGUGUCCCAGCAGUUCUCUGACUGCCUCCUCUUGGAUAAUAAGAGGACCAUUCUGAUCCCUGGCACCACCUACCAACCCUUGAGGACAGUUGUCAUGAGGAUAAGCUGUCUUACCACUAAAGACUGAGGUGAAGAAAACAUUAAGCACUUCCGCCUUUUCCGCAUCUUUAGUAACUAGUUUGCCUGCUCCAUCCAAUAAGGAACCGAGGUUGGUUAUACCCUUCCUUUUACCAUUAAUAUAUUUGUAAAAACUUUUUUUAUUAUUUUUAACAGAAGUUGCCAAGUUGAGUUCAAACUGAGCUUUGGCCUCCCUAAUUUUUUUUCUACAUGCCCUGGCAGCACCCUUAAAUAAUUCCUCAGAAAUCACUCCCUCCUUAAAAAGAUGAUACAUCUUUUUCUUAUUUCUAAGUUCCUUCAAAACCUCAUUACUCAUCCAGACUGGACGUUUGCCUCCUCUACUCAUCUUUUGGCACACAGGGACAGUCUGUUCUUGUGCCCUCAAGAUCUCUGCUUUGAAGCACACCCAUCUCUCCUGGACUCCUUUGUUUUUAAAGGCUGUUUCCCAAGGAAUUCUCUGGACAAGUCUUUUAAAUAGGCCAAAAUCUGCCCUCCGGAAGUCCAGUGUAGAGAUCUUAUUGAUAUUCCUCCUUAUUUCACCAAUUAUUGAGAAUUCUAUAGUUUCAUGAUCACUAUGCCCCAAGCGGCCUACAACCUCCACAUCACCUACCAGUCCAUCUCUAUUUGUAAACAAUAGGUCUAACAUAGCCCCUCCCCUGGUGGGUUUGCCCACCAGUUGUGACAAAAAGUUAUCCUCCACACAUUCUAAAAACCUUCUAGAUUGCUGUUUUUUUGCUGUAUUGAGUUCCCAGCAGAUGUCUGGUAGGUUGAAGUCACCUACAAGAACAAGGGCUGAUGAUCCUGAGACUUUGUUCAGUUGUUUAUAGAAUAAGUUGUCCACCUCUUCAUCCUGGUUGGGUGGACGAUAGCAGACUCCCAGUAGGAUGUCAGCCUUGUUGGCCUUCCUCUUAAUUUUUACCCAUAGGGACUCAACUUCAUCAUCAUUAGUCUCAAUACCUGUGACAUCCAAAACCUCCCUAAUAUAAAGGGCCACCCCUCCACCUCUUCUCCCUUUUCUGUCUUUUCUGAAGAGCUUGUAGCCAUCCAGUGCACUGCUCCAACUAUGUGAGUCAUCCCACCACGUUUCUGUGAUGGCAACUACAUCAUAGUCCUGCUGAUGCACCAUGGCCUCCAGCUCUUCUUGUUUGUUACCCAUGCUGCGUGCAUUGGUAUACAUGCAUCUCAGCUGGGCUGCUGAUUUCUCCCCUAACACAGUCUUACCACCCCUGGGCCUGCUUCCAAACAGCCCAGCUGCAUCCCCUUCCCCCUUCAAACCUAGUUUAAAGCCCUCUCAAUAAGGUCUGCCAGUUCAUGAGCUAAAAACCUCCUACCCUUAACAGAGAGAUGUACCCCAUCUGAUUCCAAUAGAGCAGGUGCCAUAAAGGUUGCUCCAUGAUCAAAGAAUCCAAAAUUUUGCCGAUAACACCAACCCUUGAGCCAUUUGUUAAUGAUAUGAGUUUUCCUAUUCCUUUCAUUAUUUUUCUCUGCCACCAAAGGGACAGAACACUACCUGUGCACCUGUCCUAUCAACCACUUGACCCAGUGGCCUAAACUCCCUUUUAAUCACCUUGACACUCCUCUUUUCAAUCUCAUCACUGCCAGCUUGGAGUAUCAGCAGUGGGUAAUAAUCAGAGGACUGAAUCAGCCUAGGAAGUUUCUCAGUGAUGUUUCGUACCUGGGCCCCAGGGAGGCAGCAGACCUCCCUGUGGGAUGGGUCAGGUCGACAUACGGGGCCCUCUGUCCCCCUCAGAAGGGAAUCACCCAUCACGAUUACCCUUCUUUUUUUCUUGACAUUAGAGGUGGUAAUCCUCUUUUUAGGCAAGUCAUAACUGGGAGGCUCACUGGGUAGAUGAUUUUCCUCUAAAUCAUCUCUCUGGCUGUCUAGAUCCAGUGCCUCAUACCUAUUCUGAAGUGGCACCUGGCUAGGGGAUGGGGGGCAGGAGGGGUUUUUUGUUAUUACCACCCCGAGCAGGGACCCAUUUCCACUCCCCUUCAUCUACCAGGUGCCCCUCUAUUGCCUGAGAGUGAAAGACACAUGAGCCCUCUGACUCCUGGUGGGCCUCCCUUAAAGAUGUAAGGGCUGAACUCCACCAGUCUAUUUCCUUUUCACUAUCCCUGAUACUCCUUAACCUUUCAACUUCUUCCCUAAGCUCAGCCACUAGCGAAAGGAGGUCAUUCACUUGUUCACACCUCAGGCAGGCCUUCUCCAUAACAUCCCCUGAAGCCACUGAUAAGCUCAAACACUCCGGGCAGGAAUGGGUCUGUACGGACACAUCCUUUUUGGAGGGCUCUACUUGGUCAUAUACACUUGUACCAACCACGGAUUUUGACCGGGUUAAAACCAUUGCUUAGGAGAAAGCCCAAGAUCAAUCAACCAAUAAAACAAUACUUCACCAAACUA